rnacentral:rRNA from 1 species
GAUCAUUGUCGAAACCUACCCCGCCAGAAUGACCCCGCGAAC